rnacentral:rRNA from 1 species
AUUGAACGCUGGCGGCAGGCUUAACACAUGCAAGUCGAGCGGAGAUGAGGUGCUUGCACCUUAUCUUAGCGGCGGACGGGUGAGUAAUGCUUAGGAAUCUGCCUAUUAGUGGGGGACAACAUUCCGAAAGGAAUGCUAAUACCGCAUACGCCCUACGGGGGGAAGCAGGGGGUCUUCGGACCUUGCGCUAAUAGAUGAGCCUAAGUCGGAUUAGCUAGUUGGUGGGGUAAAGGCCUACCAAGGCGACGAUCUGUAGCGGGUCUGAGAGGAUGAUCCGCCACACUGGGACUGAGACACGGCCCAGACUCCUACGGGAGGCAGCAGUGGGGAAUAUUGGACAAUGGGCGGAAGCGUGAUCCAGCCAUGCCGCGUGUGUGAAGAAGGCCUUUUGGUUGUAAAGCACUUUAAGCGAGGAGGAGGCUACCUGGAUUAAUACUCUAGGAUAGUGGACGUUACUCGCAGAAUAAGCACCGGCUAACUCUGUGCCAGCCGCCGCAGUAAAAC